rnacentral:rRNA from 1 species
GACGAACCGUACGAACGUUAUUCGGAAUCACUGGGCUUAAAGGGUGCGUAGGCGGCGCGACAAGUUGGGUGUGAAAUCCCUCGGCUCAACCGAGGAACUGCGCCCAAAACUGUCGUGCUCGAGGGAGACAGAGGUGAGCGGAACUUAGGGUGGAGCGGUGAAAUGCGUUGAUAUCCUAAGGAACACCGGUGGCGAAAACGGCUCACUGGGUCUCUUCUGACGCUGAGGCACGAAAGCUAGGGUAGCGAACGGG